rnacentral:tRNA from 1 species
GACCGCGUAGCUCAGUUGGCAGAGCAUUGGACUAGUAUUCCAAAGGUCGUAGGUUCGAUUCCCACCGUGGCUA